AGUGAACGCUGGCGGUAGGCCUAACACAUGCAAGUCGAACGGCAGCACAGUAAGAGCUUGCUCUUACGGGUGGCGAGUGGCGGACGGGUGAGGAAUACAUCGGAAUCUACUUUUUCGUGGGGGAUAACGUAGGGAAACUUACGCUAAUACCGCAUACGACCUACGGGUGAAAGCAGGGGAUCUUCGGACCUUGCGCGAUUGAAUGAGCCGAUGUCGGAUUAGCUAGUUGGCGGGGUAAAGGCCCACCAAGGCGACGAUCCGUAGCUGGUCUGAGAGGAUGAUCAGCCACACUGGAACUGAGACACGGUCCAGACUCCUACGGGAGGCAGCAGUGGGGAAUAUUGGACAAUGGGCGCAAGCCUGAUCCAGCCAUACCGCGUGGGUGAAGAAGGCCUUCGGGUUGUAAAGCACUUUUGUUGGGAAAGAAAAGCAGCAGGUUAAUACCCCGCUGUUCUGACGGUACCCAAAGGAUAAGCACCGGCUAACUUCGUG
rnacentral:rRNA from 1 species